rnacentral:rRNA from 1 species
UACGAAGGGGGCUAGCGUUGCUCGGAAUGACUGGGCGUAAAGGGCGCGUAGGCGGUUCGUCCAGUUGGAUGUGAAAUUCCCGGGCUCAACCUGGGGGCUGCAUUCAAUACGUGCGGGCUUGAGUUCGGAAGAGGGUCGUGGAAUUCCCAGUGUAGAGGUGAAAUUCGUAGAUAUCGGGAGGAACACCCAUGGCGAAGGCAGCAAGCUGGGCGACACCUGACGCUGAGGCGCGAAAGCGUGGGUAGCAAACAGG